UACGUAGGGGGCAAGCGUUGUCCGGAUUUAUUGGGCGUAAAGGGUGCGUAGGCGGCCAUUUAAGUCAGAUGUGAAGGCCCCCGGCUCAACCGGGGAGGGUCAUUGGAAACUGGGGGACUUGAGUGCAGAAGAGGAGAGUGGAAUUCCAUGUGUAGCGGUGAAAUGCGUAGAUAUGCGGAGGAACACCGAUGGCGAAGGCAAUCCCCUGGGCCUGUACUGACGCUCAUGCACGAAAGCGUGGGGAGCAAACAGGAUUAGAUACCCUGGUAGUCCACGCCCUAAACGAUGUCAACUGGUUGUUGGGUCUUCACUGACUCAGUAACGAAGCUAACGCGUGAAGUUGACCGCCUGGGGAGUACGGCCGCAAGGUGAAACUCAAAGGAA
rnacentral:rRNA from 1 species